rnacentral:lncRNA from 1 species
UCUCAUCAGCCCAUAGGCCAACACUAGCUUACAACUGUUCAGUAACAACAACAACUACCGUGUUUCUAACACAUACAAGAUACUGUUAUUCAAUCCUUUAAUUCAUUGAUUUCAAUCAAUUUGAAAACGAAAAAGACAACAUGAAGCCAACGUUUACUUGCAACGUAUGUAACAAAAUUUUCCAAACUCCUUCAACUACAAUCGACACCUUUCCCGUCAUACUGAUGUCAACCAGCACCAAUGCAAUAAGUGCGGUAAAGUAUUUGCAAGGCAUGACAAUUUUGUUCGACACUUUAACAACAAGCAUGGUAGUGAGAAUAAUGCGCAAAGUGGAUAUGGUACAGAUGAAAGAGAUGAACCUUCUACUAAGCGACAGCAGUUAUCUAACAAUGGUCGUGACUUUUAUCAAGUCACAGAUAUGACGGAAGUUGAUAUGAAGAAAUUCAAGACAAAAGCAAUCCAGUACACCGUUAAAUUCAACGACGAUUUAGAUAUUCAUGAUUCAACUACCCUCCUAAGUACGCUGCAUAAAGUUUUUCAGAGUCUCAUCAACAACUUGACGGAUGGGGCUCAUCCUGACGAUCUGAUUCGUAUGGAGUAGAGUGUCCGGAAUUGGAUUAUCCAAUACAACUUCCAAUAAUAAAAAAACGACAUUUGACAGCCGACCUAUUCCUUGCUCAGGUAGAACGAGUACUACAGUCGUACGAAAAUUCAGCAUCGAUGGUUCACUAGAAAUACAUAUUACGCACGUGAAAAUGCCCAGAGGAGGAAAGGCCAGAAAAAAGAGAUACGUCGACCUGGAGCGAUUCUUAAAAGAAAAACAAUGCAUUCUUCGAAUCCAAAAUAAAGACGAAUUGUGUUGCGCCCGUCCUAUAGUUACCGCAAAAGCUAAAAUUGAAAAACCCAAAAAAUGGGAGGCCAUUCGCAAGGGCUGCAAGAUACAACAGCAACUUGCUAUGGAUUUACACCAUGUAGCGGGAGUACCUAUAGCUAAAUGUGGAAUCAAUGAGAUUAAAACAUUUCAACAAAUAUUGCCAACAUUUCAAAUAAUCGUCGCUUCAUUAGAUUAUGGAAAUGCAGUUAUAUAACGAGGGCCGCCUGCAAAACAAAAAAUCUACUUGUAUCACCACAAUAAUUAUUAUGACAUUAUAACCAGUAUGCCCGCUUUUCUCAACAGAAGCUAAUUUUGUAUCGAAUGCAUGAAAGGAUACAACAAUAAGUUAGAACAUCGGUGUCAAAACACGUGUAAACUCUGCUUCCAAGGUAACUGUAUUGAAGAAAUUUGGGAAUAUUGUGAUGACUGUAAUAGAUCAUUUAAAAGUGGAAACUGUUAUAAAAAUCACCUUAAAAAACCUUCGACAUCUUAUGGGUUCGUAUGCGAUUUAUAUUAUAGGUGUAGAGACUGCGAUCAAUUCGUUAGCAAAAGACGGCACAAAGGAAAGCCACAUCAAUGUGGCGAAAAAUUCUGCGCGAUCUGCAAAACAUGAUCACCUUUGUUAUAUGCAACCAGUAAUUAAUGAAACAAAGAAUGAUAUAAGUGACGAAAUGAUGACGGGAGAAGUAAUGUAGUUAGCACAAGCUACAUUUUCUUUGACUUUGAAUGUAUUCAAGAAACUGGCAUCCACCAGCCGAACCUUUGUAUUGCCCAAAAAGUGUGUAAAGCAUGCAUCAACAUCGACUGGGGUGAAUCAUGUGUAGAGUGUGGUGAACGCGAAAAACAAUUCUAUAGACCCACCACUCGUGAAGAUUUUUGCAAAUGGCUUUUUAAUGAAGAAAACGCCGGUGCUAUUAUCAUUUGUCAUAACUUCAAAGGUUACGACUCAUACUUUGUUCUCCGAUACCUUUACGACAAUGCAAUUCUACCAGAAGUGAUCUACAAUGGAGCUAAAGUCAUGAGUAUUAAUGUAGCAUUUACAGACAUGAAAUUCAUAGACUCGUUCAACUUUCUUCCUAUGGCUUUGUCUAAACUUCCAGGGGCAUUUGGCCUUAAUGAGUUAGCAAAAGGAUAUUUUCCGCAUCUUUUCAAUACAAAAGCUAAUCAAGAGGCUGUCCUUUCCCAUUUGCCAGAUAUGCAUUAUUACAACCCGGGAUGUCCACUACGGAGAGAAAGAAAUUUGUUGAGUGGUACGAUGCACACAAUAACGAUGUGUUCAACUGUAAAUCGGAACUUUUAAAGUAUUGCCGAUCGGAUGUUGAUAUACUUCGUAGAUGUUGCUUGAAAUUUAGAUCUCUAUUUAUAGAAAUGACCGAGGAUGAAUGUAGUCCUGGAAUAGACCCCUUUCAAAACUGUAUUACGAUUGCGUCGGCGUGCAACUUAGUGUACCGCACCAAAUACUUACCACAGGACACUAUUGGAAUCAUUCAUCCCUUGGGGUACGCUUCGAAUGAUAAGACAAUCUAUCAAAGCUCUUCAAUGGCUGAAGUGGAUGUCUCAUAAAAAUGGACAAUAUAUUCAACAUGCUGCCAAUCAGGGUGAAAAAUGUAUUGGUAAAUACAAAGCCGAUGGAUAUAUCAAAGCAAACGAAGAGGAAAUAGUACUUAAGUUUCACGGCUGUCUGCCCCAUGGGCACACGUGUAUGGAGCGUGAAACAAAACAACCCCUAAACGGUUUCAUUAUGGAAGACUAUAGAUAAACGACGGUAUAUCACAGACCUAGGGUAUAAGUAUAUCGAGCAGUGGGAAUGCGAAUUUGACAAAGAGAUCAAACAAAACAAUGAGAUGGCCGAUUUCAUAAAAACAUUGACUAUUCCAUCAGCACUUGUCCCUCGUGAUGCUUUCUUUGGUGGUAGUACAAAUGCUGCUAAACUGUACUAUUUGGUUCAGCCCAACGAAACGAUCAAGUAUGUUGAUUUCACAAGUUUAUACCCCUUCGUUAACAAGGUUGGAAUAUAUCCAAUAGGACAUCCUAUAAUAAUAACAGAGAAUUUUAAAGAUAUUACCGAGUAUGAAGGUCUUAUCAAAUGUAAAGUACUUCCUCCUAGAGGGCUUUACCACCCAGUUUUACCGUACAGAGCAUCUGGUCGUUUAAUGUUUGGCAUUUUGAAAACACAUCGGUAUACGACCCUGUGACUAAGGAUGGUGGACUCUUCACAGCUUACGUUAAUGCUUUCCUCAAGUUAAAACAAGAAGCCAGCGAUUGGUGUAAGACCAAAGAACAACGAGAUACAUAUGUACAGUUGUACUUUGAAAAAGAAGGAAUUAGGCUAAAUCCCAUAAUAUAAAAAAGAACCAUGGUUUACGUGCUUUGGCCAAGCUCAUGUUAAAUUCAUUUUUGGGCAACGCCCAAACAUGACUAAAACCAGGUAUAUCGACGACCCAGAGGACUAUUUCGAAAUGAUGUCUCGCGAUGACACUGAGGUGCAUUAUGUAAACUUUGUAAAUGACCAGAUGGUAGAAGUACAAUGGCAACAAACUAAAGACUUUUUAUAACCGUCUGGUCGUACAAACGUAAUCAUAGCGCCCUAUAUAUCUGCACAAGCGCGCCUUAAAUUAUACGAACUCUUAGAACAGCUUGACAGGCGUGUAUUGUACUACGAUACCGACAGUGUGAUAUACGUAAGUCGGGAAGGACAAUGGGAACCGCACAUCGGGGAUUACUUGGCAGAACUUACGAAUGAAUUGGAAUCAGACAACCACAUCGUCACAUUUGUGUCUGGGGGACCAAAAAAUUACUCAUACAAAUUAGCAAAGUCAGAUAGGAAUGGAAAUUUAACUCAUUGUAAAGUUCGGGGAAUUAGACUGAAUUAUCGUAACGACUGUUUAGUCAACUUUAGAAGCAUGUUAAAAAUGGUUCAGGGUGAAGGUCCAAAGAAAAUACAAGUCACAGACCCCUACAAGAUUGUAAGGGAAAAGAAGAAUAUGAAUAUCGAAACACGAGAAGAGAAAAAAUGUACCAAGUUGUAUACACAAAACGGGUACCUAUAGGCAAUUAUGACACCUUACGGUUAUUAGUUUCUAAUUAACAGUUUACUAAGUCAUAUCGGUACUUUUUGAUGUAGGUAUGAUUAAUAGUUAUGUUUGUAUUCUGAUGACAAACGUUUUAUCUUUCAUAGUGGAUAUUUUGUAUAUUAUAAUUUUUAAUUAGUAGUAGGCCUACUAGUACAAUUGCAAGGAAUAUUUGCUCAAUGUAUAAAGAAUCGUUUGUACCGUUCUGCUAUAUUCAUGCAAAUUCAGAAAGGUUAUUGUAGACAAUUGCGCCGCUGUCGAAUUCAACAUCUUACAAACCUGCAUCACUUUAUAUUUUGUAAAUAUUG